rnacentral:rRNA from 1 species
AGGUUACUGCUAUCGGUGUUCGCCUAAGCCAUGCGAGUCAUAUGUUCUUCGUGAACAUGGCGUACUGCUCAGUAACACGUGGAUAACCUGCCCUUGGGUCCGGCAUAACCCCGGGAAACUGGGGAUAAUUCCGGAUAACGCACAUAUGCUGGAAUGCUUUAUGCGUCAAAUGGAUUCGUCCGCCCAAGGAUGGGUCUGCGGCCUAUCAGGUAGUAGUGGGUGUAAUGUACCUACUAGCCUACGACGGGUACGGGUUGUGAGAGCAAGAGCCCGGAGAUGGAUUCUGAGACAUGAAUCCAGGCCCUACGGGGCGCAGCAGGCGCGAAAACUUUACAAUGCGGGAAACCGUGAUAAGGGGACACCGAGUGCCAGCAUCAUAUGUUGGCUGUCCGGGUGUGUAAAAUACACCUGUUAGCAAGGGCCGGGCAAGACCGGUGCCAGCCGCCGCGGUAACACCGGCGGCCCGAGUGGUGAUCGUGAUUAUUGGGUCUAAAGGGUCCGUAGCCGGUUUGGUCAGUCCUCCGGGAAAUCUGACGGCUUAACCGUUAGGCUUUCGGGGGAUACUGCCAGACUUGGAACCGGGAGAGGUAAGAGGUACUACAGGGGUAGGAGUGAAAUCUUGUAAUCCCUGUGGGACCACCUGUGGCGAAGGCGUCUUACCAGAACGGGUUCGACGGUGAGGGACGAAAGCUGGGGGCACGAACCGGAUUAGAUACCCGGGUAGUCCCAGCCGUAAACGAUGCUCGCUAGGUGUCAGCAUGGCGCGACCGUGUCUGGUGCCGCAGGAAGCCGUGAAGCGAGCCACCUGGGAAGUACGGCCGCAAGGCUGAA